rnacentral:rRNA from 1 species
AUGGGUGAAUCUCAUUCUCCUCCAUUAGCGAAAGUUGGCAAGUUGCCUGCAACGAACAAACCUUCUAUACACUCAGUUCCGUUUGAGGUUGAGCACAUUGACAUUGGUGAACCUGAAAAUCCAGGACCAAGAACCAGUAACAGGAGCUCUACAUAUCAACCAGUCACCACAGACCCAUUUUCCUCUUCGCCUGAUCCCAAUGACCAAGAUGAAAACCUAGACAUACUCGGCGAUGAUGACAAUGGCUCACCCAAUAAUAUGGCCUCAGCACAAGGGACGUCUUAUCACGGUUUUGACAUCAACUUACCAAAUCAGCUCGACAUGGAUGAUGAGGUUGCUGAUGUUGAUGUAAAUGACGAAGCUGAGGAGGGACUUAAUGCAGCUGAGGCGCUGCGAGCUCAAGUCAAUGCAGAAGGACGGCAGGUGGAGCAGGCCACCUCUAGUUCAAGUGGAAGCAGCAGCGGCAGCGGGAGCGGCAGCAGCACCAGUGGUAGUGACGGCAGUGAUGGCGAUUCACCCAGCUCCGGAGGGGAUGUUGAUAUAUGA